rnacentral:rRNA from 1 species
GAUGAACGCUGGCGGCGUGCCUAAUACAUGCAAGUCGAGCGAACAGAUGAGAAGCUUGCUUCUCUGAUGUUAGCGGCGGACGGGUGAGUAACACGUGGGUAACCUACCUAUAAGACUGGGAUAACUCCGGGAAACCGGGGCUAAUACCGGAUAAUAUUUUGAACCGCAUGGUUCAAUAGUGAAAGACGGUUUCGGCUGUCACUUAUAGAUGGACCCGCGCCGUAUUAGCUAGUUGGUAAGGUAACGGCUUACCAAGGCGACGAUACGCGGCCGACCUGGGAGGGUGAUCGGCCACACUGGAACUGAGACACGGUCCAGACUCCUACGGGAGGCAGCAGUAGGGGAUCUUCCGCAAUGGGCGAAAGCCUGACGGAGCAACGCCGCGUGAGUGAUGAAGGUCUUCGGAUUGUAAAACUCUGUUGUUAGGGAAGAACAAAUUUGUUAGUAACUGAACAAGUCUUGACGGUACCUAACCAGAAAGCCACGGCUAACUACGUGCCAGCCGCCGCAGUAA